UCGGUGCAUGUAGAACUUGUUGGAAACUACAAAUCUGUUAGACACAUGAUGGCUAGUAGGAAACGAAGCAUGUCAAAUGAUGUAGAUAUGCAUGUCCUGUACAAGGAAUUGGAUGGAGCUUCAUGCCCUAUAUGCAUGGAUCAUCCACACAAUGCUGUUCUUCUCCUUUGUAGCUCUCAUGAUAAGGGAUGCCGGUCAUACAUUUGUGAUACAAGUUAUAGGCAUUCAAAUUGUCUGGAUCGUUUCAAAAAAACUCAAAGCCGAAAAUAGGGACAAUCCUCCCAUUAUGAUACAGGGGAACCUGGAUAUUGCUGUUGAGACACCCGCUGAACACUUGGAGCUGAGAAAUUUAAGUGAUCGUACUGUUGUUCACGGAUAUCACGAUAUACCUGCCAAUGAAGUUGUAGCAACUGGUGCAUUUCCUGGUGGAUCAGAAGAAAAUGGAAAUAGUAACAGAGAUAAUCGCAUGGAGAUGCAGGAAGGUGGUCUACAGACUUCAGAUGCUGUUACUGUAUGGGGAAGUAGUCAUGAAACAGCGAAUGCAGACAACUCAUCUGACUCAAUAUUGAAAUUGAAGUGUCCUAUGUGCCGUGGAGACGUUUUAGGUUGGAAGGUAGUGGAAGAAGCCAGAAAGUAUCUAAAUUUGAAGCAUAGAAGUUGCUCUCGUGAAUCAUGUUCAUUCCUCGGUAACUACAGAGAAUUGCGCCGGCAUGCUAGGAGAGAUCACCCAACAGCACGCCCUGCUGAUAUUGACCCUUCAAGACAGCGAGCUUGGAGACGGCUUGAGAAUCAGAGAGAGUACGAUGACAUUGUCAGUGCUGUUCGCUCUGCCAUGCCUGGUGCAGUUGUGUUUGGAGAUUAUGUGAUUGAGAAUGGCGACAGGCUAUCUGGCGAAAGGGAACGCGGCUCAGGCGCAAACGGAAGAUGGUUGAGUACCUUUUUCUUGUUUCAGAUGAUUGGCUCAAUGGAUCCAAUAUCUGAAGCAAGAGGUGGCAGGUCAAGAGCUUUGUCAAGGCACCGCCGAUCCACUGGACCUCUAUCUAGGCGCCGGUAUCCUUGGGGUGAAAACCUACUUGGUCUACAAGACCACGACAAUAAUGAAGAUGAGGGUGAACCUGAUCUUAACAUAUUGAGUGGUGAUAUGUCUAAUAAUCCAAGAAGGCGCAGGCGGUUGAUGCGGUCUAGGUCAGAUGAAGAUCAGCAGUAAGACCCCCUAAUUCAUGGGAUUGUAUUAAUGGUCUGUACAGGAGGGGACUGUUUACACUAAGAUCAAUUGGAAGUUUCUUGUGUUCCACUUUGCUACAGAAAGAUAAGAGUGCAAUUCUUAACAAAAUUUAGAAACUUGUGUGUUGGAUAUAAUAAUUUAAAGGGUGAAAACAGGUUGUCCCUGUGAUUGUGGGUGGUAGCUUUAGAAUGUAAAAUUUCAUUUGGUCUUUGAUUUCCUAA